UACGAAGGGGGCGAGCGUUGUUCGGAUUUACUGGGCGUAAAGGGCGCGCAGGCGGCUCAUUUUGUCAGGCGUGAAAGCCCCGGGCUUAACCUGGGAACUGCGUUUGAUACGGAUGGGCUAGAGUUCGGGAGAGGAGAGUGGAAUUCCCAGUGUAGAGGUGAAAUUCGUAGAUAUUGGGAAGAACACCGGUGGCGAAGGCGGCUCCCUGGACCGAGACUGACGCUGAGGCGCGAAAGCGUGGGGAGCAAACAGG
rnacentral:rRNA from 1 species